UACGAAGGGGGGCUAGCGUUGCUCGGAAUCACUGGGCGUAAAGAGCGCGUAGGCGGCUGGAAUAGUCCGGUGUGAAAUCCACAGGCUUAACCUGUGAAUGCCCGCUGGAAAACUGUCUGGCUAGAGUCCGGAAGGGGGCGAGUGGAAUUCCUGGUGUAGCGGUGAAAAUGCGUAGAUAUCAGGGAGGGAAACACCUGCGGGUGU
rnacentral:rRNA from 1 species